rnacentral:rRNA from 1 species
UGGUGUAGCGGUGAAAUGCGCAGAUAUCAGGAGGAACACCGGUGGCGAAGGCGGGACUCUGGGCUGUAACUGACACUGAGGAGCGAAAGCAUGGGGAGCGAACAGGAUUAGAUACCCUGGUAGUCCAUGCCGUAAACGUUGGGCACUAGGUGUGGGGGGCAUUCCACGUUCUCCGCGCCGUAGCUAACGCAUUAAGUGCCCCGCCUGGGGAGUACGGUCGCAAGGCUAAAACUCAAAGGAAUUGACGGGGGCCCGCACAAGCGGCGGAGCAUGCGGAUUAAUUCGAUGCAACGCGAAGAACCUUACCAAGGCUUGACAUACACCAGACCGUCCUGGAAACAGGUCCUCUUCUUUGAAGCUGGUGUACAGGUGGUGCAUGGUUGUCGUCAGCUCGUGUCGUGAGAUGUUGGGUUAAGUCCCGCAACGAGCGCAACCCUCGUUCUAUGUUGCCAGCACGUGAUGGUGGGAACUCAUAGGAGACUGCCGGGGUCAACUCGGAGGAAGGUGGGGAUGACGUCAAAUCAUCAUGCCCUUUAUGUCUUGGGCUUCACGCAUGCUACAAUGGCUGGUACAGAGAGAGGCGAACCCGUGAGGGCAAGCGAAUCCCUUAAAGCCAGUCUCAGUUCGGAUCGUAGUCUGCAAUUCGACUACGUGAAGUCGGAGUCGCUAGUAAUCGCAGAUCAGCAACGCUGCGGUGAAUACGUUCCCGGGCCUUGUACACACCGCCCGUCAAGUCACGAAAGUCGGUAACACCCGAAGCCGGUGGCCUAACCCCUUGUGGGAGGGGGCCGUCUAAGGUGGGACUGGUGA